rnacentral:rRNA from 1 species
AUGACGAUGAACCUAGAGGACAUGGCUAUGAUAAGCGGCCUUCCUAUCAACGGACGAGCUGUUACCGGUCGUGUCAGCACCGCUAAUUGGCGACAACGGGCAGGCAUUUUAAUUGGUGUUGUGCCCGAUCCCCCUCUGCCAGGCAAGGCCGAGGGCUCGAAAGUGAGGCAUGCUUGGCUAAAACAAGACAGAGGAGGAGGCAAUCCAUGUCCUGAGGGUGCGAAUGACCUGGUUGUGCAGCAGUACGCGCAGGCCUGUCUUUGGUAUGUACAAACUAAGGUAGUCUUCUCAGACGCAACCGGGAACUCAGCCCUCUGGAUAUUUUUGGAGCUACUCACUAACUGGGAUACCCAUUGUUGA